AUUGAACGCUAGCGGGAUGCCUUACACAUGCAAGUCGAACGGAGUGGCGAACGGGUGAGUAAUGUAUCGGAACGUGCCCAGUAGCGGGGGAUAACUACGCGAAAGCGUAGCUAAUACCGCAUACUAUUGGAGCGGCCGAUAUCGGAAUAGCUAGUGGGGGGGGUAACGGCUCACCAAGGCGACGAUCCGUAGCUGGUUUGAGAGGACGACCAGCCACACUGUGACGGAGAGACGGCCCAGACUCCUACGGGAGGCAGAAGUGGUGAAUGUUGGACAAUGGGGGAAACCCUGAUCCAGCCAUCCCGCGUGUGCGAUGAAGGCCUUCGGGUGGUAAAGUACUUUCAGCGAGGAGGCGUUACUCGCAGAAGAAGCACCGGCUAACUCCGUGCCAGCAGCCGCGGUAAUAC
rnacentral:rRNA from 1 species